rfam:Glossina pallidipes unplaced genomic scaffold Scaffold78, whole genome shotgun sequence.
ACAUGUAUACAUACAUGUAUAAAUAUAUAUUUAUAUAUGUAAAAUUUACGAGCCCCAAAAAUAAGCGUGUAAGAGAGAUUGGUAAUUCUUACUUGAAUCUAUGGAUGGUACUGCACGACGCUUCUUAAUUCGCUGGAGUCAUUUGUCUGAUUAAUUUCGAUAACGAACGAGACCCAAAUAUAUUGAAUAGAUGUUUUUAUGGCCUCAACUUACGAGCAGAAUAAAAUGUGUGAGCUUGAUUUGAGCAAAUUGCAUCUAGCAAUAACAGAUCUGUGAUGCCAUUAGAUGCCCUGGACUGCACGUGCGCUGCAAUGAAAGUCUCAUCGUGUAUUUCCUAGACCGAGUGGCCCGCUUAAAAACCUGAGCCACUUUCGUACUUGGGAUUGUGAACUAAAGUUGUUCACAGGACUUUGCAAUUUCCAGCAAGCAUUAGUCUUCAACUUGCAUUGGUUAC